CAUGAUUCAGCGGCGGACGGGUGAGUAAUGCCUAGGAAUCUGCCUAUUAGUGGGGGACAACGUUUCGAAAGGAACGCUAAUACCGCAUACGUCCUACGGGAGAAAGCAGGGGACCUUCGGGCCUUGCGCUAAUAGAUGAGCCUAGGUCGGAUUAGCUAGUUGGUGAGGUAAUGGCUCACCAAGGCGACGAUCCGUAACUGGUCUGAGAGGAUGAUCAGUCACACUGGAACUGAGACACGGUCCAGACUCCUACGGGAGGCAGCAGUGGGGAAUAUUGGACAAUGGGCGAAAGCCUGAUCCAGCCAUGCCGCGUGUGUGAAGAAGGUCUUCGGAUUGUAAAGCACUUUAAGUUGGGAGGAAGGGCAUUAACCUAAUACGUUAGUGUUUUGACGUUACCGACAGAAUAAGCACCGGCUAACUUCGUGCCAGCAGCCGCGGUAAUACGAAGGGUGCAAGCGUUAAUCGGAAUUACUGGGCGUAAAGCGCGCGUAGGUGGUUUGUUAAGUUGGAUGUGAAAGCCCCGGGCUCAACCUGGGAACUGCAUCCAAAACUGGCAAGCUAGAGUAUGGCAGAGGGUGGUGGAAUUUCCUGUGUAGCGGU
rnacentral:rRNA from 1 species